AAUUAUCAACCCUCAGGGGAAUUGGACUUGGGAUUUGCUGGCUUUUAGUAGUCAGCUGUCCUUAAAUGUAUUAGCAAGGAUGGUGCACGGCCUGUCUCCGGUGAUAAAUGAUCCGUUGGUCCGGGCUGGAAGCUGUCUAUUAACAUUUGACA
rnacentral:misc_RNA from 1 species